rnacentral:lncRNA from 1 species
GCUGAAUUCCCUCCUUUGGUCCUUAAAGACCUUCUGUUUUCCGUGAUUGGCCCGGGCCGGGGCAGGCCUAGACUUAAAGGGACUGCGCCCUCCAGGGGCAGGCGGGAGGGAAGUGACCUGUGGAGUUUGUAGCGGAGUUGGACCACUAAAAAAUUCCAGGGUUCUUUUGGCGCUGGAAGGAAUUUAGAAGGCCCCUGGCCUGGUCCUGGUCAUCUGCUAUUUUCAGAAGCCCAGAGAGAUUGCGCCACUUGUUCGACUCCACACAGCGCUCCUCCUGCUCUUCCAGAGUUGAAGAAAGGCAGGAGGACUGCAGAGGUGCUGAGCCAAUCCCUCUCCAGGCCUGCUCCGCUUGGGGCGCAGGGGCCUGUGAGUCUAGGGCUGAGCCAGGGCCUGUGUGCAGAUGGAGGUGAGAGUGUUUUCUGUGGCCUAUCAGAGCCCAACCCAGAACCAGGGUGGGGCUCUGUCUGGGCCUGGGUGGAGAUCUUUUGUCACCGGGCUCAGGCCCAGUUUGUGACCAGGGUCAGGGCUCAUCCUGAGAUCAGGGAACGGGGAGAAGCAGCCCUUCCAGGACAGACCCAGCCCAGGAUUCCAACUCCAAGAUGCUUCACAUUUACUCCAGCUACACGGCCACCCGUUCUCUUCUGGAAGCCUGCUCCUGCCCCUACGUCUUGGAGCCCACAACUGACCCCUGAUCUCUGCGCAUCUGGCUGCUCAUCCUUCCAGCCUCAGCCCGAAGAGGCCUCCCCUGACCUCUCCCUCUGAAGGGCUCCUCUCUCUGUUUCGGCCCUCUCACAUUUCAGGCCCUGCAGUUGCCUCAUCUAUGGAUGUGUUACCGGUUUGACUCUCUUCCCCACUAGAUUGUAAGCCCCAUGGGCCAGGGACCUCAUCCUCUGCUAUAUUGGCACCUGGUUGGUGCCGAAUAAAUGGAUAUGGAAUCAAUGAAUAGAUGUCCA